CCUACGGGAGGCAGCAGUAAGGAAUAUUGGUCAAUGGAGGCAACUCUGAACCAGCCAUGCCGCGUGCAGGAAGACUGCCCUAUGGGUUGUAAACUGCUUUUAUCCGGGAAUAAACCUACUUACGUGUAAGUAGCUGAAUGUACCGGAAGAAUAAGGAUCGGCUAACUCCGUGCCAGCAGCCGCGGUAAUACGGAGGAUCCAAGCGUUAUCCGGAUUUAUGGGUUUAAAGGGUGCGUAGGCGGCCUGUUAAGUCAGGGGUGAAAGCGGUAGCUCAACUAUCGCAGUGCCCUUGAUACUGAUGGGCUUGAAUGGACUAGAGGUAGGCGGAAUGAGACAAGUAGCGGUGAAAUGCAUAGAUAUGUCUCAGAACACCGAUUGCGAAGGCAGCUUAACUAUGU
rnacentral:rRNA from 1 species